UGAGUAUGUCUGGGAACUGCCUGAUGGAGGGGGAUAACUACUGGAAACGGUAGCUAAUACCGCAUAACGUCGCAAGACCAAAGAGGGGGACCUUCGGGCCUCUUGCCAUCGGAUGUGCCCAGAUGGGAUUAGCUAGUAGGUGGRGUAACGGCUCACCUAGGCGACGAUCCCUAGCUGGUCUGAGAGGAUGACCAGCCACACUGGAACUGAGACACGGUCCAGACUCCUACGGGAGGCAGCAGUGGGGAAUAUUGCACAAUGGGCGCAAGCCUGAUGCAGCCAUGCCGCGUGUAUGAAGAAGGCCUUCGGGUUGUAAAGUACUUUCAGCGGGGAGGAAGGGAGUAAAGUUAAUACCUUUGCUCAUUGACGUUACCCGCAGAAGAAGCACCGGCUAACUCCGUGCCAGCAGCCGCGGUAAUACGGAGGGUGCAAGCGUUAAUCGGAAUUACUGGGCGUAAAGCGCACGCAGGCGGUUUGUUAAGUCAGAUGUGAAA
rnacentral:rRNA from 1 species